GUUAAACGGCCGCGGUAUUUUGACCGUGCAAAGGUAGCGCAAUCACUUGUCUUUUAAAUGAAGACCUGUAUGAAUGGUGGAACGAGGGCCUAACUGUCUCCCUUUUCAAGUCAAUGAAAUUGAUCUAUCCGUGCAGAAGCGGGUAUGCGAAUACAAGACGAGAAGACCCUUUGGAGCUUAAGAUUAAAAAUCAACUAUGUUAAAUAUCCGCCGGAUAAAACUAAAUAGCAGCUGAUCAUAAUCUUCGGUUGGGGCGACCACGGAAUAAAGACAAACUUCCACAUGGACUGAGGACUAACCUUAAACCCAAGAAAGACAUUUCUAAGUCACAGAAUUUCUGACCACACAGAUCCGGCAAACCGCCGAUCAAUGGACCAAGUUACCCUAGGGAUAACAGCGCAAUCCCCUUUUAGAGUUCCUAUCGACAAGGGGGUUUACGACCUCGAUGUUGGAUCCAGGACAUCCUAAUGGUGCAGC
rnacentral:rRNA from 1 species